rnacentral:lncRNA from 1 species
UCUCCUUAGGGGGAUUUGCUAUUUUAGUUUUCACAGACAGAGUUAGGCACCCCUAAUAAUUUGGUGGCAGCCAUUUGAAUUGCUUGAAUAGUGUCUAGGAAAAAGAUAGUUGACUGAUACUAUUUCUUAGCAGUUUCACGACAGUUAUUAAGAGAAAAAAAUACAUGAUUUUACACUCCAGUGAUCAGAGUAUAUUAGAUAUGUAGAGAAAUUAUGGUUCCAUUGGACUCAGCACUGGUCAAAUCUAUAAUUCUAAUUCAUUAAUCUUCAGAAUAGUAACAAAGAAGAAGAGAGGAAGAUGCAGGAUGGCAGAACUGUCGAACUGUUGGAUGAGGUAUGAAGAAGAGGUCACUAAGUCUUCCAUAGGGAAAAGGGACUAGACUUUCCCUAGGUGUGGGUCCAAAGCUAGCGAAUAAUGAAAAAGACUAUGUGAGCCAGAGAGCUUCCCGUUGCCAGAGAGAUUCAAGGGGACAAUGAAUCAGUCUCCACGAGCAACACUGGAAAGGAUUCUCGCACUGGCUGGGUGGUAGGCUAAGUGGCCACCAGGUUACCCUCAAUCCACUUCUUCAGAGGGAGGAUUUUGGAAAGCUGUGAGUGAGUAGCUGACGAAGUUACUUCUUACCAUGGCUUGGACUCUAUACUCCUGUCUGCUGCUCGAUGGCACCAACCUCACCCACCACCAGAUUGCUUUUGACGGCUGCGAUGCAGAGUGAUGACAAAGGGAGGAGUCCCAUGGCAUUGCUGAACGUGCUGCUGAGGGUUGUCGUUCUCCUCCCACUCUGACCUCAUCAUCAGAUUCUGGGUUUCACUUUGGACAUCACAGCAUGGCAAUGUGGUAAAUAUG